rnacentral:rRNA from 1 species
AGAGUUUGAUCAUGGCUCAGAAUCAACGCUGGCGGCGUGCCUAACACAUGCAAGUCGAACGCGAAAGUCCCGCAAGGGAUCAGUAGAGUGGCAAACGGGUGAGUAACGCGUGGGUGACCUGCCUCCGAGUGGGGGAUAACGUCUCGAAAGGGACGCUAAUACCGCAUAAUAUGCCGCCUUUUAAGAGGUGGACAUCAAAGCCUGGGACCGCAAGGCCAGGCGCUUGAAGAGGGGCCCGCGUCUGAUUAGCUAGUUGGUGGGGUAAUGGCUCACCAAGGCAACGAUCAGUAUCCGGCCUGAGAGGGCGGACGGACACACUGGGACUGAGACACGGCCCAGACUCCUACGGGAGGCAGCAGUGGGGAAUUGUUCGCAAUGGGCGCAAGCCUGACGACGCAACGCCGCGUGGAGGAUGAAGACCUUCGGGUCGUAAACUCCUUUCGAUCGAGACGAACGGCCCUUGGGUUAAUAGCCUGAGGGAGUGACGGUACCGAGAGAAGAAGCCCCGGCUAACUCCGUGCCAGCAGCCGCGGUAAUACGGGGGGGGCAAGCGUUGUUCGGAAUUACUGGGCGUAAAGGGCUCGUAGGUGGCCAACUAAGUCAGACGUGAAAUCCCUCGGCUUAACCGGGGAACUGCGUCUGAUACUGGAUGGCUUGAGUUUGGGAGAGGGACGCGGAAUUCCAGGUGUAGCGGUGAAAUGCGUAGAUAUCUGGAGGAACACCGGUGGCGAAGGCGGCGUCCUGGACCAACACUGACACUGAGGAGCGAAAGCCAGGGGAGCAAACGGGAUUAGAUACCCCAGUAGUCC